GUGUCAGCAGCCGCGGUAAGACAGAGGUCCCGAGCGUUAGGCGGAAUCACUGGGCUUAAAGCGUGUGUAGGCGGGCCUGCAAGUACCUUGUGAAAUCCCACGGCUUAACCGUGGAACUGCUGGGUAUACUGCUGGUCUUGAGGCAUCUAGAGGCAACUGGAACAAACGGUGGAGCGGUGAAAUGCGUAGAUAUCGUUUGGAACGCCCAUGGUGAAAACAGGUUGCUGGGGAUGUACUGACGCUGAGACACGAAAGCUAGGGGAGCAAACGGGAUUAGAAACCCGAGUAGUCC
rnacentral:rRNA from 1 species